AUUGAACGCUGGCGGCAUGCUUUACACAUGCAAGUCGAACGGGGUUGGGAGCUUGCUUCCAAUCUAGUGGCGAACGGGUGAGUAAUACAUCGGAACGUACCGUGUAGUGGGGGAUAACGUAGCGAAAGUUACGCUAAUACCGCAUACGAUCCACGGAUGAAAGCAGGGGACCUUCGGGCCUUGUGCUAUACGAGCGGCCGAUGUCUGAUUAGCUAGUUGGUGAGGUAAAGGCUCACCAAGGCGACGAUCAGUAGCGGGUCUGAGAGGAUGAUCCGCCACACUGGGACUGAGACACGGCCCAGACUCCUACGGGAGGCAGCAGUGGGGAAUUUUGGACAAUGGGCGCAAGCCUGAUCCAGCCAUGCCGCGUGUCUGAAGAAGGCCUUCGGGUUGU
rnacentral:rRNA from 1 species